rfam:Schistosoma curassoni strain Dakar, Senegal genome assembly, scaffold: SCTD_scaffold0003374
AUCCAGAUGACGCGUCUCAAAAAGGACGAGAGGCGCGUCCUGGAU